rnacentral:rRNA from 1 species
AUUGAACGCUGGCGGUAGGCCUAACACAUGCAAGUCGAACGGCAGCACAGUAAGAGCUUGCUCUUACGGGUGGCGAGUGGCGGACGGGUGAGGAAUACAUCGGAAUCUACUUUUUCGUGGGGGAGAACGUAGGGAAACUUACGCUAAUACCGCAUACGACCUACGGGUGAAAGCAGGGGAGCUUCGGACCUUGCGCGAUUGAAUGAGCCGAUGUCGGAUUAGCUAGUUGGCGGGGUAAAGGCCCACCAAGGCGACGAUCCGUAGCUGGUCUGAGAGGAUGAUCAGCCACACUGGAACUGAGACACGGUCCAGACUCCUACGGGAGGCAGCAGUGGGGAAUAUUGGACAAUGGGCGCAAGCCUGAUCCAGCAAUACCGCGUGGGUGAAGAAGGCCUUCGGGUUGUAAAGCCCUUUUGUCGGGAAAGAAAAGCAGCAGGUUAAUACCCCGCUGUUAUGACGGUACCCAAAGAAUAAGCACCGGCUAACUUCGUG